AACCGGUUUUUGUAUGACCGCGAAAUAAUUAAAACACAAAAAGAAUAACAACGACCCCUGCAGGAAAAAAAAUCAAUAUUUUAAAGAAACUCAGUUAAUCUCAUGUUGUUAUGGCCUAGUUUUAAACCCGGUCCAGUUUUAAAUCGUGUUACUUAUAAACCAAUCAAUUUCAGUUCAAAGUUGUUUUUUAAUAAUCUUGAUCUACCAAUGUCUCAAAUAUACUGUUAAAGUGUUUUUUUUUCAUGUUGGUAAAAAAUGGCUUGGUUUGACAGUAGCGUAGUUUAAUAAAUGACACUUUAAGUUUGCUUUAUGUCCACAUUAUUGUAUUUUAAUUUGUGUGAACGUACAGAGGUUAUACCGGAUCCCAUCAGGGGUAGGCGCUGUAGCCUAAGUCUUACAGAAGGUGACGCAGGUACGUCACAGAAAAUGUCGGCAGUAAUGAGUAUGCGGUCGAUAGCGUCACUGAAAAAAAGUUUGUAAGAGGUGUUUCCUCACCUCUGGUCUCCUGGUGUUUCGCCUGAAGCUCUGCAGGACGACUCAUCCAACUCCUGAGUGACACCCACACCACUGCACUGGUCCAGAACCAGGGUCACCGUCUGGACAAACAGGAAGAACCACAAGAUCAGAAGGACUCACUGGACAGUCGCACGGACGCAGCGUUCUGCAGGAUGUUCUGACGCAGCUCCAUCACCUCCACGCGGGCGGUGGAGAUGACGUCAGGCCAGGUGUGGUCAGACACCAGCACCUGCAGGUGGUACGACCCAGGGGGAGUCCCUUCCCUGAUGCUGAGCUGACCCGAGGUCUGGUCCAGACUGAAGGCCCUGAGAGGAGGAGGCAGGAGGAGGAGGAAGUUGCUGUCCUCGUUUCCUCCUGUGAUGGCGUAGGAGACGGCGUCUCCAUCGGGGUCGUUGGCGUGGACGAUGGCGACCAGGGUGUCCGGUCCUGCGUCUUCACUGAGGAACGUCUUGUACCUGAGAGACAGGGAGAGUAACCUACACGCUCUGGGAAAAGAUUGGUGCUUCGUCGUUCACAUUGGAGACCCUGAUGCGUACGGAGGCGGAGCCUGUACGAGGAGGCGUCCCCGCGUCCACGGCCACUACCACAAACUCGUAGAUGUGAUUGGACCGUUCGUAGUCGAGGCCGCGGGCCGAAUUGACGACCCCCCCUGACGUGAUGUCAAAGGCUCCGUCUCCACCGUGGAUGAAUGUGUAAAACCUUGCAGCAGCGACGUUCCUGCUCGGACGUUCUCAGGAACAUUGUCUCUGCUGUAGAUGGACUGCAGGAACUCUGGAGUGCAGUCGUUCUCAUCUGUUACAUCAACCACCACCUGCAGGGGGCCCCCUCACCGUUAACCCAACUCAUAAAAUCCUGAACCUGAUCUUGUUUAUAUGGAGAUGAAGCUCUUUUACACCAAAGUCCAGAGAAAAAAAAAUCUGUCAUUUUAUAUCAAUGGGACAAAUGUGGAACACAGGUUGAGAUGCUGCUGCCUCUUGUGGUCAGUUUGUAUAACACCAGAGUAAAAGUUAAAUAGAAUUUAUAAACUUUGUCACUGGAGCAGCAGUGCUAUGAGGCAAAAUCAUUGUUUUUUUCUAUGGACUUUUCUAUGGUCUGGAAGAGAUGUUAUCUCGAAAAUUAUGUCAUUUUUGUUUCUGGAAUUUACCCAUGAUUCUCUGUGUGUGUGUGUGUGUGUUUGUGUGCACUGACCUCAGUCACACUGCUCAGGCCAGUAUCCGGCUCCGACGCUCUGACCUGCAGGACGUAGACGUUGUGUCCGCUCUCAUAGUCCACAGUGUGGGUAAGUCUGAGAGCGCCGCCCUGCUGGUCAACGCUGAACACGUUCCCUGGAUUGACCAGCAGCAGAUAAGAGAGAGACUUCAUCUGGAAGCUGACAGCCUGGACCACUGCCACACUGUGUCAAUGACAUCGUCAACUGCAGUGACUCACAUUUGGCCAGCAGGGGUGUUCUCAGGCACCUUCAGCCUGUAGGUGGUGUUGGUGAACUGCGGCGAUCGGUACCCGG